AAACCCAUGUGAGUUUCUCAGUUAUUCUGGGUACUCUGUCCUUUAAUGCUUCACUACAUGACCCUAUAAAUACCGUGUAGCUACCCAUGGCAACCACAGUCCCAAACAAGAACAUGAUCAGAAAUGCAGCCCCAGCCACCCGAGAAGGCAAUGCAAGUGCAGGCAACACCAUCAUCAAUGCAUCUGGUUGUAGUCCGUGGACAAUACCGGUAGCAAAAGUAGCAAAACCAAUCUUUUUCUUCUUCCCUACUGUUGGGGUUUCUAAUGCUUCAUAAGCACUAACAUCACACUCACCAUUUUCUAAGGCAACACAUGGAGUUGGGACUUCUGAUGCCUCCUUAAUACCCAUAGCACCAAUAACAAGUAGAGUUAGACCGACCA
rnacentral:lncRNA from 1 species